AUUGAACGCUGGCGGCAUGCUUUACACAUGCAAGUCGAACGGCAGCGCGGGCUUCGGCCUGGCGGCGAGUGGCGAACGGGUGAGGAAUGCAUCGGAACGUGCCCAGUAGUGGGGGAUAGCCCGGCGAAAGCCGGAUUAAUACCGCAUACGACCUGAGGGUGAAAGCGGGGGACCGAAAGGCCUCGCGCUAUUGGAGCGGCCGAUGUCGGAUUAGCUAGUUGGUGGGGUAAAGGCUUACCAAGGCGACGAUCCGUAGCUGGUCUGAGAGGACGACCAGCCACACUGGGACUGAGACACGGCCCAGACUCCUACGGGAGGCAGCAGUGGGGAAUUUUGGACAAUGGGGGCAACCCUGAUCCAGCCAUGCCGCGUGCGGGAAGAAGGCCUUCGGGUUGUAAACCGCUUUUGUGCGGGAAGAAAUCCUCUGGGCUAAUACCCCGGGGGGAUGACGGUACCGGAAGAAUAAGCGCCGGCUAACUACGUG
rnacentral:rRNA from 1 species